UAUGACUACUAAAAUGUGAAAUAAAAUUGAUUUUGACUGAACUGUUUAGGAUACACAACUUUGAUAGUCUGCUUAAAUUUUGUUGAACUUUAUCAGUUAAUUGAAACUAAUUCCCACAAUAUUUAGCUGAAAUCAAUAAUGGAUUAUCUCGGAAUAUCUUUAUAAAACAUUUCUUUGGAAGAUGUCAUUGAUGAAGAAACCAACACGUUAGGAAUAUCCCUUGAGGAAAUGGAAACCUCUUUAAAUGCUCAGGAGUCCGAUGAACCAUUGGCUGUUGUUAGUCCAGAGGAACCCACACAGCCACUUCAUACAUCAACACCAAAGAAACCCAUACAUACAAGUAAAACAGGAAAAGGCAGACCAGUUCGGAGGUUAUUAAAGCUUAAGAAAACAGGGGAAGUGCAACGUCUACAGCAAUGUAGGAGAUGAUGUUUUCAUAGCAAUGUUUCCC